AACGAGUAGAAAUGAGUCUUAGAAAGCUGAUAAAAGACACCCAGAAGAAGACAAAUCGUAACUUCUUACUUUUUGAAAUACUUUAAGCAAGACGAUACUUAUUCUAUUGUGAAAGCAAACUGUGUAGAAGUUGAGCAGCUGGAAGCUGGUACCUCCUGCAGAGUAAGGGAUGGAAAGGACUUUCAUGAUGGCACAAUAGUCACCUUUGGAGAUAAGAAAGAUGUAAGUAAUGCAGCAGGUGAUAUUAUUGAGAAGAUUGAGAAAGAGUCAGCGGAGAAUUUGGAGAAAGAGUCAGCCAAGAAUAUGGAGAAACAGUCAGCUGAGAGUAUGAAGAAUGAGUCAGACUACAAAGCGUGGCACAAUAAAAAGGAAAGCUAAGAAAAGUACCACCGAAUAAAGAAACCUAAAAUAGAAAAAGGAAAGGAAGGUGAAGAAAUGCACAGUUAAUAUUGUUGCUGUUGGUUGUGCUACAAAUAAUGAAUCUGCUGCAAAUAAUGAAGCAACAAGCUUCAACACUGGAGAUCCUUCUAAGCAUAUUAGUAUCGAAGCAAGAAAACCUUCAGAGAGAAAAGAGGCAGAUUCCAGUGAAAGAAUUCUUUGUCAUAGCCCUCCACCACUUCCACCACCACUUGCACUGGUGGAGCUUAAAACUCAAGCUGCAUGUAGUACUGAAACAGAGGUUAUAUACUGUCUCUAAUUAGAAGAAUGGAAAUUUUAGAAGAACAGAGUAUCAUGGUGCCAUCCCAAUUGGGUUGCUUAACAUACCAUUUCUUUGGAAAUACUAGCAUGAACACAAGGGCAGGUACUCUGCUACAUACAUGAACAGUAAUGGAAGUACUCCUAGUGCCCCAUCUGCUUGUAACCUACCUCAGCAUACAGAUCCAGUAACUCCAACUAAUGAGCCAGUAAAGGCAAUCAUCACCAAUACUACUGUGCACACUGGUAAUAGAAGGAAAAUAGAUUUUAAUGCUCCUUUGUUGAAUCCUGAUAUUGUGAUUAAUAAAUAUCCCAAACUAAAGACACUCUCUCAAGUUGGACAAUCAUUUGUAAGACUA
rnacentral:misc_RNA from 1 species